CUCUUACUCGUCAUUGUUAGAAUCAUAUCACUUUCCCAAAAUAGUAACAAUCCCCACCACUUCAAAUAGACCUUGUCCUCAAGGUCUUGCUUGAGGCACAAACUCGGGAAAUUGAUUCUUGAUGUAGCCCCAAUCCUCUCAGCUAGAGGUUGCAUCAGUGGUGACCAUCACUGUCGCUCGAGGAAAGCUGCAUCUGAGAAUGAAUUGUAGGUCGAACACGUUGUUUGAGCUGAGAUACAUGGAAUAUGGGGUAGAUUUGAGACCCCUCUGGUAGAUCCAGAUGAUAAGCAACUGACCCCCACCCUCUACAAAAUAGUGUAAGGACCAUAGUAUUUGGCAGCGAGCUUUACAUUUCAUCGCACAUUAAUGGACGACUGGCAGUAUGGAUACAAUUUGAGGAUAAGAACUGAGUAUGAAGAACAACUUAGAUAAACUGGACAAAACAAAGAAAACAUGAUCAGCUACGGCUCAGGCGAUGUCCCAUCAACCUUGUGACGAACCGUCAGCCAAAAACUGUCACCAGGAAACAGAAUGCAGGAACACUAGAAUUCAUGUGAUGGUCCAGGCGACGGACCAUCGACCUUGAAAUGAACCGUCAGCCUAAACCGUCUCCAGGAAAUAGAAUGCAGUACCACUGGAAGCCAUGCGAUGGUCCAGGCGAUGGACCAUUGGUAUUGUGAUGAACCGCCACCCUACCCAUUGCCCAGAAGAAAAACAUAGACUCACUAGAGCUCUAGCAAUGUUCUAUGAAACAAAUCGUUGCCUUAGCGAUGAAUUAUCGUUCGAACAUUCGAGCAUGAAGCGGCAACUCCGAGUUUGAAUUUUAAAAUCUGAGUUCUAGAAACAUAUAAAUACCAAGUAUUAGGGUUUAUUCCAGAUUUUUUGUCAGUAGUUUCAUACUUUCUUCUCAAUUGAGAGUUGUGUAGCACUUUUCCUU